GAUUUUUUUAAAGUACAUGGGGAGUAGAUUUACACAACCUUUAUUCCCAGAUUGCAGGAGAGUGAGAAGCAAAAAAUAGUGCCCAGAAUUGGUGGAAUUAGAACCAAAAGGUGUCUCCUGUGACAUAAGCCUUUGGAGAGACACAAUAAUCAUGUCAUCUUCUGCUCUGUCAUUCACACAAUGUAUAGAACAAUGAUUUGACCAAGUAAGAAGAGACAAAGAGCCAAGAGUUUGUUUGGAGGCCGGAGUGAGCUUGACAGAACUAGAUGAAAUUGGCCACUGGGCACUGGGACCCAGAAAGGCCUCAUUGCCACAGAGUUGCAACAGAGUGUGGGGUCCCAUUAUCAGAAUCCUUUCUAUGGUGCAUCCAAUUGGCUAUGACUCUCCUAAGAACAGCGCUGCAGGAAAAUGCAAGUUCACAGGAUAAUGAAUGCACUGUUGCUUCUCUGCUGCUGACUUUUCCCACGAAUAAAACUUGUAUUUAUUUGUACUGCUGGUUCGGGCUGCCAUAAAAAGCACCACAGACGAUAUGGCUUACACCACAGAAACUCAUGUUCUCCCAAUCCUGGAAGCUGAAAGUCCAAGAUCAAAGUGUUGUCUGGGUUGGUUUCUUCCAAGACCUCUACUGUUGGCUUACAGAUGAUUGUAUUCAGUUCACAUGAUGUUCUUCUAUGAGUGCCUGUGUCGAUUUUCUGUUCUUAUAAAGAUAUCAG
rnacentral:lncRNA from 10 species